GAGUUGUAAUGUGGUCCUGAUCGCAAAGGUUUUAUAUCCACAUUUCUGCCAUGACAGUGUUCUACGGCAAUCAAGUGGUCCUGAUCGACUACGGGGCUGAUGCCUCACAGCAGCUUCUCGAUGCUUCUCUGGUUGGCGAUCUUAGAUCGACUCUCAAAUGCAUCACCGAUUCCUUCGUAGACAUCAACUUCGUCAGUGCAGUUUUCCUUGAAAUGUAGAAAGGGUGAGGUCAUUUUGCAGGAUGAAUCACCGAGUGAAGUUCUCGUCUACUUUGAGGAGUUUAAAACUGAUGUUACAGCUUGCUCAUCGCCGUUCAUGUUGGAAAUGUGGCUUUCGUGAAGAAAUUUUUGCCUUCAUUUAUAUUUUAAGCAAUGAAAGCAAUAAAAAACAUGGUUGCAAGAAAAAUAGCACUCUGUGUCAAAUUUUGAUUUCAUGGGGUUGCAAGAAACAUGGUUACCCAACGUCUAAGAGGUGCACAUUGAUGCUCUAACCCCAUGUCUACAAAGCAUGACUGCUUGAGAAGUUACUCCUUCACUUCGGUCUUGAGAAGUCAUUCAUUCACUUCAAUCAUAAGAUACAUCGGUGGUAGAUAUCGAAGACAUAUUACAUUGAUUUUCUCUUUUAGAAUUAGAUGAAGACAGAGAAGAAAGACACAAAGAAGGAGAACCUAUCGGAGAGAAGGAAGCAAUUUGCUUUCUUUAUUCUUUAGCAUUUAAUUUAGGGAUUCUAAGUGUAUUAGGGAUUUUAUUUUAGUUAAUUAUUUUUACUAGGUUUAUUUUAGUUUUGCAAUAGCUGAGUAAGAUGCUGACAUGUCAAUUCUAUUAAAUAUAUAGUUAAUGUGAUAAUUUUUAUUUUUUUAAUGAAUUUUAAAAUGAUGUAAAA
rnacentral:misc_RNA from 1 species